rnacentral:rRNA from 1 species
CCUACGGGAGGCAGCAGUAGGGAAUAUUGCGCAAUGGGGGAAACCCUGACGCAGCGACGCCGCGUGAGCGAUGAAGGCCUUCGGGUCGUAAAGCUCUGUCAGGUGGGAAGAACCCUCCGUCGAUGAAUAAUCGGCGGAGCUGACGGUACCACCAGAGGAAGCACCGGCUAACUCCGUGCCAGCAGCCGCGGUAACACGGAGGGUGCAAGCGUUGUUCGGAAUCACUGGGCGUAAAGGACGCGCAGGCGGCCCGGUAAGUCGGAAGUGAAAUCCGUCGGCUCAACCGACGAACGGCUUCCGAUACUGCCGGGCUUGAGUACGGGAGAGGAAAGCGGAAUUCCCAGUGUAGAGGUGAAAUUCGUAGAUAUUGGGAAGAACACCGGUGGCGAAGGCGGCUUUCUGGACCGAUACUGACGCUGAGGCGUGAAAGCGUGGGGAGCAAACAGGAUUAGAUACCCUGGUAGUCCACGCUGUAAACGGUGAGUACUAGGUGUAGGGGG